GGAUAGUAAAGUAGCAGCGAAAGUAGAAUUGACUUGGAAAGUACAUCUCUAACUGUUGGAUCCACGAUUGACAAACUGUAGCAGAGUGGGAGAGCUCCCUCUUCUGACCUCCUGACUCCCUAAACAAGAAACUGUGAUGAGUUUCAUGGUGACCUGAGCAAGGACCCAGUCAAAGGUGAAGAGGGAUCUGUUGCAAAGAUUAGACAAGGACAUGCAGACAACAAUGGAUAUUUACUGCUCUGUAGAAGAACCAUCCACGGUCUCUUCGCUGCAGCUCUUUCUUACUUCAGCCAUGGAUAGGGAGAGAGUUCUGUGCUGGCUUUAACUCACUUCAAGCAGACAGCAUCUUGCCUCUGCAGAACUGAUCUUCUUUCCUGGAAACUGGCCUCAAGGAGUGAAGAACCAAACUUUCCCAGAAGAUAAGACCUGGCCACAUUCGAACACGGUUGCCCCAGAUGCCAGCAAGUCUCAGGGUCCCAUCAACAUAUGGCUAAGCACCUGGGCACCUGCUUUUCCUGCACGUAGCUCCCUUCCCUUUUCCUGUGCUUCCGCUUCUAAAACCCUGGAUCUUUGGGACGUUAUUAGUCCACCAUCUUCCCAGGUGGCCACUUUCCUGAAUAGAGCAACCUCUCCUUUCCCACCCUCGCUAGUCUCGCGACUACUGAUUUUUAAGCACUGAGCAGCUGAAUCUGAGUUUGGAAUGUGUUCUCUGGUAACAUUCCCGCUCACACAAUGUGUUAACUAACCUUAUUGUGGUGAUCACUUUGCAAUAUAAAUGUAUAGCAAAUCAUCCCCUUGUACACAUUAACACAAUGUUAUGUUAAUUAUAUCAAUAAAGCUGGGGGGGGGGUGUGGUGCAGAAAUGCCCGCCUCUCCUCUUUAGAGUGCACAAUUCUGAGAGUGAUUCUGUAAACUUCUCACAGGUCACAAGGAAUUGAGCCCCAUUACCCAGAGUGGUGAUAUUGACAACAC